AUUGAACGCUGGCGGCAUGCCUUACACAUGCAAGUCGAACGGCAGCACGGGAGCAAUCCUGGUGGCGAGUGGCGAACGGGUGAGUAAUACAUCGGAACGUGCCCAGUAGUGGGGGAUAACUCGGCGAAAGCCGGACUAAUACCGCAUACGACCUACGGGUGAAAGCGGGGGAUCGCAAGACCUCGCGCUAUCGGAGCGGCCGAUGUCAGAUUAGCUAGUUGGUGGGGUAAAGGCCUACCAAGGCGACGAUCUGUAGCUGGUCUGAGAGGACGACCAGCCACACUGGGACUGAGACACGGCCCAGACUCCUACGGGAGGCAGCAGUGGGGAAUUUUGGACAAUGGGCGAAAGCCUGAUCCAGCCAUGCCGCGUGUGGGAAGAAGGCCUUCGGGUUGUAAACCGCUUUUGUCAGGGAAGAAGCGCUCCGGGCUAAUACCACGGAGUAAUGACGGUACCUGAAGAAUAAGCACCGGCUAACUACGUG
rnacentral:rRNA from 1 species